AUAACAAUACAGGACUCUUUAGAGGCCCUGUAAUUGUAAUGAGUCCACUUUAAAUCCUUUAACUCUGAUCAAUUGGAGGGCAAGUCUGGUGCAGAGCCCCUGACGAGUGCGUGCUGCAGCUGAAGCUCCAC